rnacentral:ncRNA from 2 species
UUAGAUCAGUCUGUGUUCGUGAGACCUGUGAAGGCACAAAAUACACUAAAGCCUUCAAAGCAAAAACACUGUGAAGGUACAAAAACAAACUUCUACAAUGUUUUUGCCAUGAAGGUUUGGUGUUUUUGUACCUUCACAAUGUUAUAUUGUGAAGGUUUUGUGUUGUUUUGUGCUUUUACGGGACUCACGAAAACAGACUGGUCUCACA